UACGUAGGGAGCAAGCGUUUGUCCGGAAUCAUUGGGCGUAAAGCGCGCGUAGGUGGCUUCGUAAGUCCGUUGUGAAAGUCAAAGGCUCAACCUUUGAAAGCCGAUGGAUACUGUGAAGCUAGAGUACGGAAGAGGCGAGUGGAAUUCCUGGUGUAGCGGUGGAAUGCGCAGAUAUCAGGAGGAACACCAAUAGCGAAGGCAGCUCGCUGGGACGGUACUGAGCUGAGGCGCGAAAAGCGUGGGGGAGCGAACAGG
rnacentral:rRNA from 1 species